rnacentral:lncRNA from 1 species
UUUCUUUGCAUUUGGCCCCCUCAAAAACUUUAUUUUCACAAAUAGCACCACUAAUUUUAUAAUUAUAAUUUUGAUCCUAUUCCCGCCACGCAGGCGACACGUCAGCGUCAGGCAAGGAGGAGAUGUGAAAUAAGUUGAACAGAGUGAAUGUUUCACCGUGUCUAGUAUAUUAUUGGUCAAUAUAUUCACUAAAUACGGAGAAUCAGAUACGGUGAAUGAAUUACCAUAUUUAACUUAUUUCACAUCCUUCUUCUCUGUCGCGUGGUGCUGACGUAGCACCUGCGUAUCGGGAAUAGGGUCAAAAUUAUAAUUAUAAAUUAGUAGGGUUAUUUGUGAAAAAAAAGUUUGUUUAGGAGCAAAUGCAAAAAAAAGCCCCACAAAAAAAAUUAGGGAUACAAAAACCCCCAUGGUUUCGCACUUUCUCACUUUAGUACCAUGUGAUUUGAAGUGUAUCACCUUGCCGUGAUUACCCUGUGAUUUGAAACGUUGCACUUUGCUGUUAAGUAAAUUAAUAUUUACUUUGAAGUGUUUCAAUUUGUCCCCCUAUGCUUUUGUUUUUUCCUUUUUAUUAUCAAUUUUUUAAUUUUUUUUCUUAAAUACAAAGUUAAAAUUAAAGGUACUAAAGUAAAUAUUCGAUAAAUCUAGGUCGGUAUAUGAAGUUUUUUGUAUAUAUUUUAAUGAAAUAUUAGGAAAAAAGCGACCGAAAAGAUAAACACAAAAUUACAGGGGGUAAGUUGAUACACUUCAAAUCACAUGGUACUAAAAUGAGAAAGUGCGAAAUCA